rnacentral:rRNA from 1 species
UACGUAGGGGGCAAGCGUUGUCCGGAUUUAUUGGGCGUAAAGAGCUCGUAGGCGGCUUGGCAAGUCGGGUGUGAAACCUCCAGGCUCAACCUGGAGACGCCACCCGAUACUGCCAUGGCUAGAGUCCGGUAGGGGACCACGGAAUUCCUGGUGUAGCGGUGAAAUGCGCAGAUAUCAGGAGGAACACCGAUGGCGAAGGCAGGUCUCUGGGCCGAUACUGACGCUGAGGAGCGAAAGCGUGGGGAGCGAACAGG